AGCAGAAUUUUGUGAUAUACAUAUAUGAUUUUAUUGGAGAGUAAAAUUAAUAAUAAGAAAAUAUCCUUCCUAGAAAAUUUUUCAUUAAACUUACAUACAUGAUUGCGAAUUGAUCGAAAAAUCCAUCGUUAAAAUAACGCGAUAGAAACUUUAUACAAUCAAUACUGACCUAUCUUAAGCAAUGCGGAGAAUUUUCGACAAAGGUACGUUUACAGAUACAAAAUUAAAAGAAUUAAAGACAAAAUCAUAUGAUCAUAAUAUAAAUAUUCUCUUAUCUCUAAGACUUUCUCUCAUCUCCUUAUCCAAAUACGUUCAAUUCACUUCUUCUGUCCUGAAUCAGAGAUUCUAAACGAAGAUAGAGCACUAUCGAAGAAAGGGCAUCAGAAGAACCAGGCUAGAAGAGAGAUAGAGUGUGGGUAGGGAGGAGGGAGCGAGAGCGAUGCAAUGCAUCGCGGUCACUCCAGUGACCUAGUAAUGUCCGCCGCGACCUUAGUUGCGACGUGUUCACCCGUUUAAACCACCCUUCGUCCCCCUCUUUUCCCCUCGCCAUCAUCAUCCUCCUACUCCCCCUCUUGCUCCCAUUCUCUUAUCCGCACCACACGUGACAGUACGGCGCGAGGGGGCGAAGGGGGCCAGGCGUGGGAUAUUCUCGCAAGGUGCGGAAAGGGGGAAUCAAGAGAAGAGAGAGAGAGAGAGAGAGAGAGAGAGAGAGAGAGAGAGAGAGAGAGAGAGUGUGUGACUAGGGCAGGCAGGGAGAGGAUGAUAUAUACAAAACACAAGGUCACAGGAGAAGUGCGAUUGUGUGGACGGCCGUGUCGGUGAAGACGCGGUGUGACGUAACACUCGGCGACGACGCGAACACGUGAUUUGCACGGUGGUAGCGUUAUCAUGAUACUCUCUUACCUGGCGAUAUGCCAUGCCCGGGAAAAUCCCCGAAGGUGGAAACGGAGCCGAGAUAGAAGAGCCUGGGCAAGGACGGAAAAAGGAUGGAGCAUGGAACAUAAUCUCCCAGCGGUAUUCCCGGACCCUCUGCCGUAGCAAAAGCUCAUUAGAAGUCGCCCUUUGAAAAUCGUCCUGCUACAAGCAGCUGCCCUACGGCGCAGUAACGGACGCUUCAUGGCGCUAUUUUUCCAGUUUAAUGCAGCUCAUCCGAUGCUGUUUGAGAAAAAAAACAUUGGGUACACACUGAAUAUUUCCCCAUACAAUACGUCCCUGCGCUUCGCUUUAGUGCUUCGUACAUCCUGCAGGGACGUCGUUCAAAGGGACGACAAAG